CAAUUAAUUCAGGUCAAAAAAAGAACAAAAAAACCUAAAUUUUACUUACAAAAAAAAAAUUGUUUGAAUGAAUUCCAAUUGUACUGGAAAAAUCUAACAGUAAUGAAAAAAAAGACAAGAAUUUCAUAGAACAAAAAUCCAUUGAUGAUGAUCAUUUAGUCGAAUGACCCAUAAGGUACGUGUCCAGAAUUUUGUUUUUUUUUCUCUACUGAUGAAUGAUAAUAAACAUCAUUUUUUUUCUCUCUUUCUCUAUCAAUCCGCAAAUUGUGACAAAAUUGCCUACACACAAAAAAAUCUAUAAUUGGCCAUAAUAAUCUACGGUGAUGAUGAAACUUUUGGUUUUCUGGAAGAUCCUACCAUGAAAGGAAAAAAUUAUUUAUUAAAUUAACAAAUUCAAUCAACGAGGAAAAAAAAAUGAGAAAAAACUGAUAGUGUGACAUUGUUCUUUCCAUUAUUAUUACCAUUGUCCACACACACUGGUCUUUAAUUUGAUAUAAUUAUAUUCUUGCUUGUGGCCGUUGUUGUUCACACAACUAACUAGAGAGAAAGUCAUCCGAAUGAAAAAAUAAUUCCCCAUCAUUGAUUGUGGUGAUGAUGAUGAUGAUGAUAAUAGUAGUAGUGAGCCAACAAUGUUGUGGCCAUAUAAACUUGGUUAAUUUUGUUGAUUGAAAUCAAAUCUAUUAUUUGAAGAAGAGAAUGGUGGAAAAAAUACACAAAAUUCAUUUCAUUUUCAAUUCGACAAUUCAAUCCAUCCAUCUAAUAUAUGAAGACGAAAAACAAAGUCUCAAAUUGUUCACUCAUCCAUAAUUAUAGCGGAAAAGUGUAAAUUUUGGAACCUACUCACAACGGAACUGAAAUACAGAACAAGGACAUCAAUGAAAAGAAAAAUGAACUGGAAAAUCAAAAACAAAAAAAAAUUUUUUUUAGACAUUUUGCCCAAAUUGGAUAAUGUACAAAUGUAUAUGUGAUCAUCACACACACACCAACAUAUGAAAGAAAGCUGUUGAUAACGAAAAAUCUCUGAAAAAAUUUACUUUUUCAAUUUCGAAUAAAUAUGUGUGUGUGUGUGUGUGUCAACCGAACGAACAAACGAAGAAUAAUCAUUAAGAAUGCAAUAAUGGAAUAACGGGUAUCAUGCCAUUGCCGGUGAGAAUGAGAUAGCGAUAAAAUCAAAAAAAAUUCAACUGGAACCAUAUAUAUGAAUAUUAAGCGAAAAAAACUAUUCGAUAAUGACUGAUCGGAAAAAAGGAAGAAAAAAUCGAUUCACAAAGGUGGACGACUUGGAAAAAUUCAAAUGGAAAUUCAUCAUAACGGAAGAAAAAAAAAUGAUAAAAAUAAUUGACUAUGAGAGCGAAGAAGAAUUUAUGUAAAUCAUCAUCAUCACGGUCGUCAUUCUAUUACGAAAUAAUAUUCUAUAUUUUUUUCCUACAAUCAAGCUAAAUUCAUUUCCAUUAUCAUCAUAAUCAUUGUUGAUGAUUGACGAUGACAAAAACGACGAUUAUCACCUCUUUUCAUCAUCACCAUCUCUCUCUCUCUCUCUCUUCUUGGUUAUACUACAGAAGAUGAUCGCAAUUGAUGAAGUGAUGAUGGAAUCAACAAAAAAAAACAACUUUAUUUUAAAUGGAAAUCAUAAUGAUAAUGAUAAUGAUGAAAAUGAAUCGGACGAAUAAAUAAUUUUUUUUUUCAUUUUACCAUCAUCAUCAUCUUCCAUUUUCAAGAGAAAAAGUAUUACAUUCCUAAUAGUUUUUUUUGUUGUUCCAACAACAAAAAAAAAUUGUCAUUUCAAACGGCUACGAUGAUUAUGAUGAUGACGAUGACGAUGACGAUGAUGACAAUAAAUUUAUGAAUCACUGAAUUGUCGCCAUCAUUAUCAUCAUCGUCAACAACGAAGACGACAACGGUAAUGUGAAAAUGUAGAAAAUGGAUUUGUCAACAAGAUUUUUGAAAAUGAUAUAUUCGUUAUAUAUCAUCACAUAUACAAUGUAGAAAAUAUUGUUUUGAACAACAACAACAAAAAAUGAUAUUCUUUUCUAUAUUCAAAAAACCACCCACCCUCGUCUAUCCCUUGUGACAUAAAUACACAGUGAUGAUGAAUAUAUUGUUGUUACAUAAGAA